rnacentral:tRNA from 1 species
UUUGGGGAUAUAGCUCAGUUGGUAGAGUGCUUGCCUCAUAUGCACAAAACCCUGGGUUCAAUCCCCAGCACCACAAAA